CUAGAGAUAAGAGAUGUGUAAAUUAGUGAAAAAAUUCUAGAAAAAAUCUAAGAAAAAUGCAAGGAGAAAUUGAGUGGCAAAAGUUGUAAGAAUGGUGGUGAGAGAUUUAGCAAGUGUUGCUAGUGUGCCCUAGGAUUUGAUUUUUUCAUAUGUUGGAGCCAAAAAUCAAAUCUUAAGUUGUAAGAUAUCUGAAGAGUAUCUUCUUGGCAUGAUUCUGGUGGCAGGUUCGGAGAUGACUGGGCUUUGGUGUGAUCGUUCCUUGAGUUUGAAGUUGGUAGUGUUCUUGAGAAGAAAAGGCUGCGGCAAUGCAC
rnacentral:lncRNA from 1 species